UACAAUUUUGUUGGCUAUCCAUAGUUUAUCAUAAUGUUACGUUGGCUGGGGCCCCUCAAAUAAAAUGUCACGCAUCACGCACCAAACAGGCCAAUCCAAUUAAGCCGUGCACACAAACUGAACGAUGAUGCGGUGUGUGUGAAAAACAAUGGAGACGGAGAAGACUUAGGAGAGUCAGGAGACAAUCCAGACACAUACCCAGUGGCUGUGUCUUCUGAAGAACACAAGGAGGAGAAUAAAUGGUUGCAUUUCAGUGACCAGUUCUCCGUCAAGUACAAGAGAGGCCAUCCUUGCAGCUACAUGAUACCUCUGAUAUACUUCCUCACCAUGAGACGCAUGUGGAGCUGACGCAGGAUCUCUGAGCAAGUCUCAAUCUUGGUGGCUAAGGAUCACAUUACACAACAGACCUCAAAGGCAUCCUCUGUGGCAAAAAGUGUCCUGGGGUGGCGGAUAAAUAUCUUGGUUCUACAGUGAAAUGGAAAGGUAACAGAGGUUUGUAUGAACCAAUUUAGUCAAGGAGAAAUGAGUGGCCCACACUGGUUAGCUGCUCUCACCUGCCCAUUUUGUACUCA